ACUCAAAUGAAUUGACGGGGGCCCGCACAAGCAGUGGAGCAUGUGGUUUAAUUCGAAGCAACGCGAAGAACCUUACCAGGGCUUGACAUCCCGCUGACCGGUCUGGAGACAGGCCUUCCCUUCGGGGCAGCGGUGACAGGUGGUGCAUGGUUGUCGUCAGCUCGUGUCGUGAGAUGUUGGGUUAAGUCCCGCAACGAGCGCAACCCUUGUGUUAUGUUGCCAGCAUUCAGUUGGGCACUCAUAACAGACUGCCGACGACAAGUCGGAGGAAGGCGGGGAUGACGUCAAAUCAUCAUGCCCCUUAUGUCCUGGGCUACACACGUGCUACAAUGGGCGGUACAACGGGAUGCGAAACCGCGAGGUGGAGCCAAACCCUAAAAACCGCUCGUAGUUCGGAUUGCAGGCUGCAACUCGCCUGCAUGAAGCCGGAAUUGCUAGUAAUCGCGGAUCAGCAUGCCGCGGUGAAUACGUUCCCGGGCCUUGCACACACCGCCCGU
rnacentral:rRNA from 1 species